GCAAGUCGAGGGGUAACAGGGAAGCUUGCUUUCGCUGACGACCGGCGCACGGGUGAGUAACGCGUAUACAAUUUGCCUUUUACUGGAGGAUAGCCAAGAGAAAUUUUGAUUAAUACUCCAUAGUAUUAUUGGGCCACCUGGUUUGAUAAUUAAAGUUCCGGCGGUAAAAGAUGAGUAUGCGUCCUAUUAGCUAGAUGGUAAGGUAACGGCUUACCAUGGCGACGAUAGGUAGGGGUCCUGAGAGGGAGAUC
rnacentral:rRNA from 1 species